rnacentral:rRNA from 1 species
UGGGGAAUAUUGCACAAUGGGCGCAAGCCUGAUGCAGCCAUGCCGCGUGUAUGAAGAAGGCCUUCGGGUUGUAAAGUACUUUCAGCGGGGAGGAAGGUGUUGUGGUUAAUAACCACAGCAAUUGACGUUACCCGCAGAAGAAGCACCGGCUAACUCCGUGCCAGCAGCCGCGGUAAUACGGAGGGUGCAAGCGUUAAUCGGAAUUACUGGGCGUAAAGCGCACGCAGGCGGUCUGUCAAGUCGGAUGUGAAAUCCCCGGGCUCAACCUGGGAACUGCAUCCGAAACUGGCAGGCUUGAGUCUUGUAGAGGGGGGUAGAAGUCCAGGUGUAGCGGUGAAAUGCGUAGAGAUCUGGAGGAAUACCGGUGGCGAAGGCGGCCCCCUGGACAAAGACUGACGCUCAGGUGCGAAAGCGUGGGGAGCAAACA